rnacentral:lncRNA from 1 species
CCGCUGGAUCUGAUUGGCUGAGAGUCACAAGAGCUCUUUUCCUAUUGGUUCAGUCCAAACUUUGACAGAAAGUGCAGCAGGUGUUAUCAAUAACAUUAAUCAGGGCUCCACUGUUCUGUUAUUUUCUUUAUUGAACAAGAUUCAAAUUCAAACAUUUAAGGCAUAAUGUUACAAAUAAAACUGGCCUUUAAACAGCUUGAAAGUAGGAAUAAAAUUAGCAAAAACUAAAGAAAAUAAAAGAAAUGUAACAUUUUAUUCAAGAAAUGCAAGUGAACUCCGGUAUUUGAUUGUAAGCCUGAACUGUUUAUUAUUUAACGUUAAGCCAAUUUGCUGCAAAUCACUGCCACUGAAAUCAUUCAAACAUUUGUUUGUCCCAGUUUAUUUUUAGAGUCCUGCACAGCUUGAUUAUCCAGUCCUCCUGCAUCUCUAUCGUUCAUUCUAUCAACCACAACCAGCAACAUCCUGUUCACACUCCCUUCAGCAUUUACAGGGAACAACACCAGUUCAGUUUCCCUGUACACAUGAUGUUCAGCUGCUACUGAACACAAGUUUAAGCUUUCAAAACAUUUCUGAUUUUGAUUUUCAGCAUCAUAUUGAUACUAGGCUACAUUUUUUCAUUUCCUGAAGAAAUAAACUCAUUCUGCUUCUUGGAAGCUUCACCUGAAAGUUAAAUGUAACUUUUACAUGAAUCAAAGAUGGUGGAUUUUGUCACUUAAAAGGGAUUUCUUGAAGUCAAGUAUGAUACUGCAGAAAUGAUUACUGUGACAAUAACUAUUUUAAUGCAUAUGUAACGGGCGUGCACUGUCUUUAGCAGUUUUUAUCAAAUUAAUUGCACAUCCGUUAACCCUUGUAUGUUCUGCGUUGUGUUCUAUGUUGAGCUGAAUGAAGAAAGGACCCGGACCACGACCAGCUGUUGGUUGCUCUUUUAAUGAAGGCAGGGCGGUGGGUUUGUCUGUACAAAUCAACAGAAAAACACAUAAGGCUCUGAAACAUGCAGUCUCUCUCUCACAGCACACAGGUCUCAAGCUCCUGUUAGCGAAUACACACACAGAAAACUCUUUAGACUAACAUGUGGAAACUUGUCUACUUUAAAGCUUGCAAAAAGUCUGUUUACAAGAUUUAUAUUCAACUGACACAUUGGCUGCACGUUCACAACUUAUGUACUAACAUUUAUACAGGAAUUAAACAAGGUUUGCAUUGUCCAAAACCCGAAAUAUAUGUUUAGAAAUGACGAGCAAAAUAAUACAUUACCUCCUCUCAGCUAGCUUGGCGCGGACUGAGAGAAGCACCGGAACAACGGCACCAAGGCCUGCUACCUCUUAAAGUGACAGUACAGGUAUUAACACUUUGUCAGAAUACAACAUUCAGGCAUAAAUAUGGGCAAUAAAACACAUCUUAAACAUAUAGAAAACAUUAUUCAUCAGGAUUUGGUGACAUUUCAAACAUAAAAAUAAAGGUAUAAUUUCAACCCGGUUACACAUAUGUGACUGAAAAAGCAGAAACUUUAGAAACCUUUAGAUUCUUUAUUUAAUGUUUUUCUUACACAUUAAACAGCUGAAUGACUUCAGAAAAGAAUUGUUCAUAUUUAUUUUACAACAAAUUCACAGUUAAAUUUCUUCUGCAACAGUUUUAAACAUUAG